rnacentral:tRNA from 1 species
UGGCUCAGUUGGUAGAGCACAACCUUGCCAAGGUUGGGGUCGCGGGUUCGAGUCCCG